rnacentral:rRNA from 1 species
GAUGAACGCUGGCGGCGUGCCUAAUACAUGCAAGUCGAGCGAACGGACGAGAAGCUUUCUUCUCUGAUGUUAGCGGCGGACGGGUGAGUAACACGUGGAUAACCUACCUAUAAGACUGGGAUAACUUCGGGAAACCGGAGCUAAUACCGGAUAAUAUUUUGAACCGCAUGGUUCAAAAGUGAAAGACGGUCUUGCUGUCACUUAUAGAUGGAUCCGCGCUGCAUUAGCUAGUUGGUAAGGUAACGGCUUACCAAGGCGACGAUGCAUAGCCGACCUGAGAGGGUGAUCAGCCACACUGGAACUGAGACACGGUCCAGACUCCUACGGGAGGCAGCAGUGGGGAAUCUUGGGCAAUGGGCGAAAGCCUGACGGAGCAACGCCGCGUGAGUGAUGAAGGUCUUCGGAUCGUAAAACUCUGUUAUUAGGGAAGAACAUAUGUGUAAGUAAAUGUGGACAUCAUGACGGUACCUAAAGAAAAAGCCACGGCUAACUACGUG